rnacentral:rRNA from 1 species
UGGGGAAUAUUGCACAAUGGGCGAAAGCCUGAUGCAGCGACGCCGCGUGCGGGAUGAAGGCCUUCGGGUUGUAAACCGCUUUUAAUUGGGAGCAAGCGAGAGUGAGUGUACCUUUUGAAUAAGCACCGGCUAACUACGUGCCAGCAGCCGCGGUAAUACGUAGGGUGCAAGCGUUAUCCGGAAUUAUUGGGCGUAAAGAGCUCGUAGGCGGUUUGUCACGCCUGGUGUGAAAGUCCAUCGCUUAACGGUGGAUCUGCGCCGGGUACGGGCAGGCUAGAGUGCAGUAGGGGAGAUUGGAAUUCCCGGUGUAACGGUGGAAUGUGUAGAUAUCGGGAAGAACACCAAUGGCGAAGGCAGAUCUCUGGGCUGUUACUGACGCUGAGGAGCGAAAGCAUGGGGAGCGAACAGGAUUAGAUACCCGUGGUAGUCCAUGCCGUAAACGGUGGAUGCUGGAUGUGGGACCCUUCCACGGGUUCCGUGUCGGAGCUAACGCGUUAAGCAUCCCGCCUGGGGAGUACGGCCGCAAGGCUAAAACUCUAAAGUGA